rnacentral:rRNA from 1 species
UACGAAGGCAGCGAGCGUUGUUCGGAGUUACUGGGCGUAAAGAGUGCGUAGGCGGUUUUCUAAGUUUGGUGUGAAAUCUCCCGGCUUAACUGGGAGGGUGCGCCGAAGACUGGAAGGCUUGAGUAUGGGAGAGGUAAGCGGAAUUCCUGGUGUAGCGGUGAAAUGCGUAGAUAUCAGGAGGAACACCUGCGGUGUAGACGGCUUACUGGACCAUAACUGACGCUGAGGCACGAAAGCGUGGGUAGCAAACAGG